UGUGUUCAUCGACCUACAAUUUUGUCAAUGCAAAAUAUUUGUAUUCUUUGAGGGACAGCGACAUUGAGGAAGUUGGAACACUUGACUUUGCAACUCUGUGCCUAAACAACCUGUGGAGUGAGUUGGAUGCAUGGAAAGACAAGGUGUAGAGAAUACUGGGUUAUGAACAUUUCUCCUUCCUUUGUAUUCGCAAUUCCGUAGAAAUUGGAAACUAAAGAUUGGAGUACAUGGUCUGGUUAUGUUUGGUGUCCUGCCAUGUAUACUUUUUUGUGCUUAAAAGCAUGGCUUAUAUAUGUUUUCCCAGAUUCUUUUUGGCCUGAAAUCCUAUCUGUUUUACCAUGUACAUAAGUCGUGAAGAAAUUCAAUAGCCACGAGUUCAGGCCAAGGCAAAUUCGGUAUUUGGGUAUUAUAUCACGUGACAGUAGUACAAAUAUUGCCUGGAUGUGAAUCGAACCAAACUCGCGUCA